ACACAUGAUGAACUCUGUGCGUGCCCACAGAGAGGGCUCUGAGUGCCACCUCUGGCACCCGUGCCAUAGGUUCGCCAUCACUGACAUAUAUUCACCUAACAAUGGAGAUUGAUAGAACAGAACAUUAGAUGAUGCUCGAUGUACCUAGCCCCUGAAACUUUUGGAAUCAUAUCAUAGCCUUUCAAAAUGUUUUAGGCUUGAACAAAUUAUUCCCAUUAAGGGCCAGCCAAAAAAUGUCAGUGUCACUGACAAAGCAACCCAGCCACUGUGAAAUUGGGGAUGACCCAGACUGUCCUUUCUAUAUAUAUUUAUGGAAGACAUUACUAUUUAUUUGCCUAUUGGAGGUCUUUAGGAUUUACCUAUGUUGUCGUCGUUGUUCUUCAGUGCAUUUUGGACACUAGUUCUCUUCAUUUAGAUAUUAUGUUGUCCUCUUGUUCAUCGCUGUUCAUGUAUGUUGUAAGAUUUUCCAAUGGUUUUGUUAAUGUGCACAAUAUGCUAUUUGUAUCUUUGAUCUUUCUACACCAUAUACUAUCAUUGUGAACUCUCUUGUUGUGAUAGCUUAUGGUGCGGUGGGUCAUAUUGUUAUUCUCUAUUGUUUUCCACCACCCCUUUUGGGUUGUAUUAUUUGUCUCUGAGAUUAGACAGGGACCUUAAACAGCACCCACCAGUGGAGUCGCUGUGUAUUGCAAGCAGAAUGAGUGAGAUGUUCUUGCUUUGUGCUGAUUGUUUGGAAUAUUCACAGAACAAGUCUUAUUAUCAGUGCUCCCACUCUCCUGGGAGGCUUACAGCAUGAAAAUACUUCUUUCCCCCUGCUAGCAGCCUUCCACAGUGUCCAGCACAAGAUGGGGAGGGUGAGCUCUCUGCAUGGUGAGCUCUGUGUACGUUUCUGAAUCCUAGCAUUUGCCUGACUAAGCUGCCCUAUGGUGUUAAGCAUGAGUAUAACUGUUGUGGCAGACGUGCAGUUUCCCAGCAAUCAGCUCACUGUGUUGAGUUGCUAGAAGUCAAAGAGCUCAGAAGGCUGUAACACUGAUAGACAUGUAUUGGCCAGUUCCCAUCAUGUCACUAGUAACAAAAGAUACAGUGACUCGUCUUCUCCAGGUGCAUAUUUUGAAAUGUUUUUUGUUGGUUGCUCUGGAAUCUUUUUUAGGCUAAGCACUUCCUACUGAACUAUUGCAGGGGAGUUUUCUUUUUCCAAGGCAAUUCCAAGAACAUGUUUCCUAGGAACUGGCGCCAUUGAGUAGAUCUUAAUAGGAUUCUGGCCAGACCUGCUUAGGAUUGCUCCCUCAGUUACUUUAUAUGUUGGAAAGGUUAGUACGAUAUAUCUCAUUGGUGAUUAGAUAUGAUUCAUCCAUGCCAGCAGAAAUUGCAUGAAACAUCUCACUUCAAUCUGAAUAUCCCAAUUUGUCAUAUGUGUGACACGGCUAGAGAAUGUGGUUUAUAAUCCAUAAACAGAUUAGGGUUAUUCUGGCAAUAGUACUAAGCAUAUUCACCCCAAAAUUGGGGGGGGGGGGCAGACCUAUGGCAGAGAAGCUGACGGGAUAUUUUAUACAAAUCACUCAAUAAAUGUCAAUGUUACCAAAAAGAAAUCAUUUUUAUUUGUCCUGCAUAAUUAAAAAACACAUACACAUACAUUUUGGCAGAUAUUCAGAGCACACUUUACCCCUAUUGUUUCAUGUGCCAUUAGCUUCCCUCUCAGUUGUACAAUACUUACCACUUCUCCUUUUCGUAGAUUGAUAUCAUCAAAAUAAAACCUGGACAUUUGAGCACCACAUUGUCUGAAGAUUCCACGGUUUUAUAUUCCAUGACCACAUGUAGAUAAAAUACAGGGCAAAACAGUUCACUGUGCUUCUCUUUCUGCUUCUAUGUUUGUUUGUUUGUUUGUUUGUUUUGUUGGAUUUAUAUUCUGCCUCAUCUCCGAAGGACCAACACAUUACCGAUAAUACAAGGUCCAUCUUCAUCACUGUCAUGGUGACUUGGCCAAGGAACUCAAGUUCCUGUUCCUCAGGUAGACAGGGGAGGUUUGGACAGGAAUCUAAAAGAGGCUGAUCUUCCUAUUAUUUUGGACUGGGAUAGCAGUACUUCUGACCCUCUUUAACUUCCUGAACACUGGUCUGUCACACCCAGGAUCAAUAAAGGGAUUUGCCUAGGGAAACUAAGGGGUUCUUGGCACAUCAGAAUAUUCCACUGAUUAAAGUCAUCUGAGACAAAUUCACUUUAAAUGUGCAUGCUUUUAUGUCAUGGCAGGAUCAAGAGUUCUAAGGCAACUAGCAGGACAUUUGUGAUGAUGUAGAUUUUAUGUCUAAUAAAAGUAAUGAAAUGAAUGGUGAUAUAGGUUGCUUCAUUUUUGUGUAAAUAAGAGAUCAAGCAAAAUUGAUGCAUAAAUUAUAGAUGCAAUAGU